rnacentral:rRNA from 1 species
UACGUAGGGGGCUAGCGUUGUCCGGAAUCAUUGGGCGUAAAGAGCGUGUAGGCGGUCCGGUAAGUCCGCUGUGAAAGUCGGGGCUCAACCCUCGAAUGCCGGUGGAUACUGUCGGGCUAGAGUGCGGAAGAGGCGAGUGGAAUUCCCGGUGUAGCGGUGGAAAUGCGCAGAUAUUGGGAGGAACACCAGCGGCGAAGGCGGCACUCUGGGCUGGUACUGACGCUGAGGAGCGAAAGCGUGGGUAGCGAACAGG